GCGGUGUAAAAUGAGCGUGCGUCCUAUUAGCUAGUUGGUGAGGCAAUGGCUCACCAAGGCUACGAUGGGUAGGGGUUCUUAGUGGAAGAUCCCCCACACUGGCACUGAGAUACGGGCCAGACUCCUACGGGAGGCAGCAGUAGGGAAUAUUGGUCAAUGGGCGAAAGCCUGAACCAGCCAUGCCGCGUGCAGGAUGACAGCUCUCUGAGUUGUAAACUGCUUUUGUACAGGAGCAAAACAAUCCCUGCGGGGGUUCUUGAGAGUACUGUAAGAAUAAGCACCGGCUAAUUCCGUGCCAGCAGCCGCGGUAAUACGGAAGGUGCAAGCGUUAUCCGGUUUUAUUGGGCUUAAAGGGUGCGUAGGCGGCUUAUUAAGUCAGUUGUGAAAUCCUAGUGCUUAACGCUAGAACUGCAAUUGAUACUAUUAGGCUUGAGUUAAGAAGAGGU
rnacentral:rRNA from 1 species